GGGAUUUGUCACCUCCUUU
rnacentral:rRNA from 1 species